UACGGGGGGGGCAAGCGUUGUUCGGAAUUACUGGGCGUAAAGGGCUCGUAGGCGGCCAACUAAGUCAGACGUGAAAUCCCUCGGCUUAACCGGGGAACUGCAUCUGAUACUGGAUGGCUUGAGUUCGGGAGAGGGAUGCGGAAUUCCAGGUGUAGCGGUGAAAUGCGUAGAUAUCUGGAGGAACACCGGUGGCGAAGGCGGAUCUCUGGGCCAUUACUGACGCUGAGGAGCGAAAGCGUGGGAGCGAACGAGG
rnacentral:rRNA from 1 species